CAGACUGCUCAAUGAGGUGAAGAAGAAUCCUAGAGUGUCAGCUAAAGACUUACAAAAGUCACUGGCAAAUGCUAACAUCCCUGUUAGCGAAUCUACAAUACGUAAAACACUAAACAAGAAUGGAUUUCAUGGGAGGAUACCACAGAGGAAGCCACUGCUGUCCAAACAAAACAUUGCUGCACGUUUACAGUUUGCACAAGAGCACCUGGAUGUUACACAGCAGUACUGGCAAAAUAUUCUGUGGACAGAUGAAACCAAAGUUGAGUUGUUUGGAAGAAACACACAACACUAUGUGUGGCGAAAAAAAGGCACAGCACACCAAUAUCAAAACCUCAUCCCAACUGUGAAGUAUGGUGGUGGGGGCAUCAUGGUUUGGGGCUGCUUUGCUGCGUCAGG